rnacentral:rRNA from 1 species
UGAUUUUAAAAUUUAAUAGCUGCAGUAUUUUAACUGUACUAAGGUAGCAUAAUCAAUAGUUUUUUAAUUGAAAGCUGGAAUGAAUGGUUUUAUGAAAUAAAAACUUUUUUAAUGUUAAUUAAAUUAAAAUUUUAUUAUUAGUUAAAAAUCUAAUAUAAUUAUAAAAGACGAGAAGACCCUUUAGAUUUUUAUAUUAUUAGGAUAAAAAUAAUUAAAUUAUUUAAAUUUAUCUAAAUUAAUAUUUGAUUGGGGUGAUUAAUAAAUUUAAAAAACUUUAAUGUGUUAAAACAAUAAUUAUUGAUUAUUUGAUCUUGAAUUUUAGAUUAAAAGAAUAAAAUACCUAAGGGAUAACAGCGUAAUUUUUUUAGAAAGUUCUUAUUAAUAAAAAAGAUUGCGACCUCGAUGUUGAAUUAAGAAAAAAUUUAAAUGGAGAAAUUUAAAAUUUUUGGUCUGUUCGACCAUUAAAAUCUUACGUGAUCU